UACGUAGGGUGCAAGCGUUGUCCGGAAUUAUUGGGCGUAAAGAGCUCGUAGGCGGUCUGUCGCGUCUGGUGUGAAAAUCCAGGGCUUAACCCUGGACCUGCAUCGGGUACGGGCAGACUAGAGUGCGGUAGGGGAGAUCGGAAUUCCUGGUGUAGCGGUGAAAUGCGCAGAUAUCAGGAGGAACACCGGUGGCGAAGGCGGAUCUCUGGGCCGUAACUGACGCUGAGGAACGAAAGCAUAGGGAGCGAACAGG
rnacentral:rRNA from 1 species